rnacentral:rRNA from 1 species
UACGUAGGCAGCGAGCGUUGUUCGGAGUUACUGGGCGUAAAGGGCGCGUAGGCGGCUUGGCAAGUGGAUGGUGAAAUCCCUCGGCUUAACCGAGGAACGGCCGUCCAAACUGCUUCGCUUGAGACCGGGAGAGGUGAGUGGAAUUCCCAGUGUAGCGGUGAAAUGCGUAGAGAUCGGAAAGAACACCAACGGCGAAAGCACUCUGCUGGGCCGACACUGACACUGAGAGACGAAAGCUAGGGGAGCGAAUGGG